CCUACGGGAGGCAGCAGUGGGGAAUAUUGGGCAAUGGGCGCAAGCCUGACCCAGCAACGCCGCGUGAAGGAAGAAGGCUUUCGGGUUGUAACCUUCUUUUCUCAGGGACGCAGAAAGUGACGGUACCUGCGGAAUAAGCCACGGCUAUCUACGUGCCAGUAGCCGCGGUAAUACGUAGGUGGCAAGCGUUAUCCGGAUUUCUUGGGUGUAAAGGGCUUGUAGGCGGGAGCGCAAGUCCGAUGUGAAAACUCAGGGCUCAACCCUGAGCCUGCAUUUGAAACUGUGUUUCUUGAGUGCUAGAGAGGCAAUCGGAAUGCCGUGUGUAGCGGUGAAAUGCGUAGAUAUACGGAGGAACACCAGUGGCGAAGGCGGAUUGCUGGACAGUAACUGACGCUGAGGCGCGAAAGCGUGGGGAGCAAACAGGAUUAGAUACCCCAGUAGUC
rnacentral:rRNA from 1 species